GCAGUCGAGCGGAACGAUGAUAGCUUGCUAUCAGGCGUCGAGCGGCGGACGGGUGAGUAAUACUUAGGAAUCUACCUAGUAGUGGGGGAUAGCACGGGGAAACUCGUAUUAAUACCGCAUACGACCUACGGGAGAAAGGGGGCAGUUUACUGCUCUCGCUAUUAGAUGAGCCUAAGUCGGAUUAGCUAGAUGGUGGGGUAAAGGCCUACCAUGGCGACGAUCUGUAGCUGGUCUGAGAGGAUGAUCAGCCACACCGGGACUGAGACACGGCCCGGACUCCUACGGGAGGCAGCAGUGGGGAAUAUUGGACAAUGGGGGAAACCCUGAUCCAGCCAUGCCGCGUGUGUGAAGAAGGCCUUUUGGUUGUAAAGCACUUUAAGCAGUGAAGAAGACCAUACGGUUAAUACCCGUAUGCGAUGACAUUAGCUGCAGAAUAAGCACCGGCUAACUCUGUGCCAGCAGCCGCGGUAAUACAGAGGGUGCAAGCGUUAAUCGGAAUUACUGGGCGUAAAGCGAGCGUAGGUGGCUUGAUAAGUCAGAUGUGAAAUCCCCGGGCUUAACCUGGGAACUGCAUCUGAAACUGUUAAGCUAGAGUAGGUGAGAGGGAAGUAGAAUUUCAGGUGUAGCGGUGAAAUGCGUAGAGAUCUGAAGGAAUACCGAUGGCGAAGGCAGCUUCCUGGCAUCAUACUGACACUGAGGCUCGAAAGCGUGGGUAGCAAACAGGAUUAGAUACCCUGGUAGUCCACGCCGUAAACGAUGUCUACUAGUCGUUGGGUCCCUUGAGGACUUAGUGACGCAGCUAACGCAAUAAGUAGACCGCCUGGGGAGUACGGCCGCAAGGUUAAAACUCAAAUGAAUUGACGGGGGCCCGCACAAGCGGUGGAGCAUGUGGUUUAAUUCGAUGCAACGCGAAGAACCUUACCUGGUCUUGACAUAUCUAGAAUCCUGCAGAGAUGCGGGAGUGCCUUCGGGAAUUAGAAUACAGGUGCUGCAUGGCUGUCGUCAGCUCGUGUCGUGAGAUGUUGGGUUAAGUCCCGCAACGAGCGCAACCCUUUUCCUUAGUUACCAGCGGUUCGGCCGGGAACUCUAAGGAUACUGCCAGUGACAAACUGGAGGAAGGCGGGGACGACGUCAAGUCAUCAUGGCCCUUACGACCAGGGCUACACACGUGCUACAAUGGUAGGUACAGAGGGCAGCUACACAGCGAUGUGAUGCGAAUCUCAAAAAGCCUAUCGUAGUCCAGAUUGGAGUCUGCAACUCGACUC
rnacentral:rRNA from 1 species